UUUUGUUUGCGAUUUCCUGAGUUUCACCUUGAGGACAAGGUGGUAAUCAUGGAGGGGGCAUUGUCACACCUGGAACCAAAGGGGAUGAAGAUUAGCACUGGCGAAGGGGGAAUUUAAUUCAAAUUGAUUGAAACGACAGCGUUAUGAGCUGGCGGCAAGUAAAUUCAAAGCUGGCAGCAAGUAAUUUCAAUUCUAGUUAAACGGUUGCGUUUUAAGGCAGCUCGGGUAAAACUGAAUAAAAUAGUAAAGGCCACGUGUAAAGGCCAGAAUUAAAACAGAAACGGCAUAACAGAAGGGUGAGGAUAAAUACCCUGAAGAUGUAACAGAAGUUAGGCAAUUUAUAUAACAGAUUUCAGUAUUGUUCCCUAAUUCUCUCUCGCCCUUCAGCGUGGAAAUAAC
rnacentral:lncRNA from 1 species